UACGUAGGGAGCAAGCGUUGUCCGGAAUCAUUGGGCGUAAAGCGCGCGUAGGCGGCUCGAUCAGUCUGUUGUGAAAAGUCAAAGGCUCAACCUUUGAAUGCCGAUGGAUACUGUCGAGCUAGAGUCCGGAAGAGGCGAGUGGAAUUCCUGGUGUAGCGGUGGAAUGCGUAGAUAUCGUGAGGAAGACCGGUGGCGAAGGCGGAUCUCUGGACAGUUCCUGACGCUGAGGCGCGAAGGCCAGGGGAGCAAACGGG
rnacentral:rRNA from 1 species